rnacentral:rRNA from 1 species
GUAGAGGUUUUGGACCAUCGAUCGAUCGUGCAUGCAAAGGUGUGAUCGUUUAUGUGUAUGUAGGUCUAUAAAAACUCUAUGCCGUCGUCCCGCUCUCGCUCUCUCUCUCUCUCUCUCUUAGAGUAUAGUAUAGUCUUCUUCGUUCAUCUCUCCUUCGUCGUCGAUCGCUCGCCGUCCCCCUCCGCUUUCGAACUGCCCCGUUGGUGGUCUGGUGGUGGUGUGUGGGUUUGGGGCCGGCCAGGUCGGCUGCUGCUGCUUCCCUCGGUAUCGGUACAUACGAAAGGCACGGGGCGGGGUGUGGAAAAAGGGCAAAGGAGAGAGCGAGCGAGCGGACGAAAAAGGGCUACUCUAGAAAAGAGGCCAACCGAAGAAAUUCUGGUGACGCGCGCGGGAGGGGUUAGGCGACGACCGAAAAGUGGGACAAAAAAGAGGGGGUUUCGUUUCGCUCUAAGAACGACACUGACUCCACUCCAUCAGACCAUCACACUAAACCAUUUCCCCGGCCCUAACAGAGAACAGAACCUAUCAACCUAACCUAACAUAACGAUGGACGUUGCGUAGAAAAGAACUGGAGCAACGAAAGGAGGAGAAGCAGAUGGAACGAUACCGGAUACCGAUCGGUCAUCGAUCGAUCGAGGCACACUACGCACAUCACCAUCAUCACUCGUAAAGAGGAGUCAGGAUCGAUUCUAUCGGAACAACUAAUCGAUCGAACCAUCUAGUCACCGCUAUCCUCACUGAUUAGUUAAGCGCCCGGCAGACGAGAAGAAGAGACCUUUCUAAACCAGCAGGCUCGAUAUACAUGAUAGAGAUCGAUCAACGAAACGCGUUUCACUCGAGUAGAGAAAGCUGACCACAACGACGGGAAAACAGAGCAAACGAAACCGAGACGACUAACCAAACCACCACACUAAACGAAGUCAACCUAGAUCGACCCACCUGGAAAACCACCACACAUUCACAUUGAGCCCUCCUACCGCGUGCUAGGGUCGGACCCGAAGCGCCUGAUGAAGAGCCGCCGGCUGCGCCGCCGCCGCAGCGAGUACGGCGUCUACCUGCUCCCGCGCGGCCUCGACAUGCCGAACGUCAGGCCCUACCUCGACGAGCCGUACGCGCCGGACGUGCGACGGCGGUACAGGCCGCGCUGCAGGCAGAGGCGCCUACAAGUGACGCUGCCCCCUCCUCUGCCGGUGCUACGGAGGUGGUACGCGAAGAAGGAGCUCGUCGUCGUCGUCGUCGUAGUAGUUGUAGUGGUCGGCUCGGUCGUCCGCGGCAACAGGGACAGCGACACGGCCGGCCUCCUUCAGCGCGUCGACGUGGUCGUCGUCGUGGUAGUGGUAGAGCCGCCGAGCAGAGUCGUCGUCGUGCUCCGCAGGCGCCGCAGCACCUACGACGGCGUGCUCGUGCUCCGCCGCUGCAUGCGCGUGCCCGUGCCGCGCCGCACCGGCGACGCGUCGAGGGCCAAGGACGAGGGCCGCGUCGUCGAGGACGUCCCGAUGACGUCGGAGGGGCACCUGUAGUGGGGCUUCGCGCGGUUCGGCGGCGUCGUUCUGCUCCGGCCGCCGCCGCUCCGGAGCAGCAGCAGCUGCAGCCCGACCUGGGGCAGCCGCGUCUAGGUCCGGUACCUCCGCGACCUCGAGUUCGCCGAGUUCCUGUCCGAGAUGCAGUACGACCUCCUCCACCUAGCCUCCAUGUCCUCCAUGACGCUCGUCUACUCUCCCGACCGCCCGCCCAAGCUCCGCCACCGCCCCCUCGCCCGCCGCAGCCCUAUGUGCCGCCACCGCCGCGCCUGGUAGAGCGCCGUGAAGGCCUCGGAAUCCCUGCCCUAGCACCGCGUCGACGUCCGCCACGCCUUCCGCGAGCCCCUCUUCCUGCACCGCGGCGGCCCCUACUGUGCCCCGCUGUGCGGCGCCGAGUUCCACGACCUGGUUACGUAGGCCGUCGUUUUCCGCUACGUGGUCUUGCCGCCGUACUACUACCUAUCGGUGGGAACCGCCGGCGUCGCGCCAGACGGGCUCGCGCGCCAGUGGUAAGAGGCCCGUACCGAGAAGCUCGUGAAGGAGUUGGGCAUAGGCUCGCUGCACCUGUUCGUGUAGGACCGAGCGGUCUGCCCGGAGAGUGCCUCGGUCCACAGGUUGACCAAGUAGUUGCGCGCCCACGCCGACACCUUCGGGUACCACCUCCUCUACAUGCACCUCCUCUACUUCCCGCUCGUCGUCCUGCUGCCGCCGGACUAUUUGGGAUUGUUGGGAUCGUCGUCGCCGUCGGUGCGGAGGCUGCGCGUCCCCGUCGUCCCCCGCCGGCGCCGGCUGCUUCCGCUCGCGCAGCCCCCACGGCUGCUGGCCUUCGGCUGCGCCCGCGUCGACGUACAACCUGUGCUGCGGCCGAGCGAGCGGAGGCAGCAGUUGUAGCGGCCGCAAAGGCGCGCUUACCUCCCGAAGCCGCAGUACCUGCGGCCGGUGGUGGAGCUGAAACUGCGCAUGCCACCCGUCCCGGUCCCUCCUAAGCCCCCGCCGCGCCCGCCGCACAGCGAGUGCGACCCCGACGUCGUCGUGCUGUGCGUGCCGCCGCCGCCGCCGCACUUGUAGCGCAAGCCGCGCGGCAGCAGGCGCGUCGUGCCGCGCCCGCCCAAGGACAAGGGCCCGCUCGUCUACCUGCCGCACCCGAACGUAGGCAGGCCGCCGGUGCCGGUCUUGUAGGUCAAGCCGUACCUGCCGCGGGGGCUCCGCAGCAGGGUGCCGCACGUCCUGGUCGUCGUGAUGGCCCCCUACUCGCGGCCGAAAGUGGACGAGGCACUGGACCGGCCGACUAGACGCGUCCUGCCGGGCCACCCUUCACGACGAACGUGCUUACGGUAGGUGCCGCUCCUCCGUCGUCUGACGCCACGGCGUUGCCGCGGCCGUCUCCCCACCUGGACAUGGACGUGCGUGCGACGACGACGUAUGCGCUGUAACGAAAGGGGAUUCGAAAACCACCAGAAAAACAACGGACUAUGCAUGCGUAGAGGAGUACAACCGCACUGCAUGCCGACGUCAGGGGCCGGAUCCCGCUGGGACGGACGGCCUUACCAUUCAACGUGUAAUUAAUCUCAUGACGCAUUGUCUUGCACGUGGUCGUCCCGCUACUUAUGCAUGCAUCGGCCGGCCAACGAUGACUAGCAUGCAUGCACGUCAAACCUUCGCCUCGCCGGCCCGUCCACUGGACAGCUACAUAGCUAGCCGGCCGCGGCCUACUAACAGAUCCCCUGGCCUCUAAGCGUCGAAUAAUAAACAUCAAGCUAACUAGUUUAACCACCUACUAACCGGGCUCUAACUAACCAAUAUAUACGAAUCUCUAGAGAACACGAAUACGGGAUCACUGCGAUGAACCUAAACAAGAUCAUGUUAUAUAUGAGUACGCUAGUAUAUAUCGAUGUAUGACUUCUCACACGCAAACCG